rnacentral:tRNA from 1 species
GGGGGUGCGGGGAGCACGGUGCACGUCCCCUCCGGAUUCCGGCCGGGGCAGCGCGAGGCGGUCGAGCUUGCCGUUCGGCGUCAGCGGCAGUUCCUC